GAUGAAGAACGUAGCGAAAUGCGAUAAGUAAUGUGAAUUGCAGAAUUCAGUGAAUCAUCGAAUCUUUGAACGCACCUUGCGCCCUUUGGACAUUCCGAAGGGCAUGCCUGUUUGAGUAUCAUGAACACCUCAACUCUCACGGCUUGUCCGUGAUGAGCUUGGACUUUGGGGGUCUUGCCGGCCUGUGGUCGGCUCCUCUCAAAUGGAUCAGCUUGCCAGUGUUUGGUGGCAUCACAGGUGUGAUAACUAUCUGCGCUUGUGGUUUUCCAUCAGAUAACCUUCAGUGAUAUGGAGGUUCGCUGGAGCUCACAAAUGUCUCUCCUUAGUGAGGACAGCUCUUUGAACGUUUGAUCUCAAAUCAGGUAGGACUGCCCGCUGAACUUAAGCAUAUCAAUAAGCGGAGGA
rnacentral:misc_RNA from 1 species